rnacentral:misc_RNA from 1 species
CACCAAUCAAGCCUCGCUUGGUAUUGGGCGAUGCGGCCUGCCCGCACGCCUCAAAUGCAACGGCCGAACGUGCUCUCCUCCGGCGUCGUGGAAACAUACCGCUACAGGGACGAGCGCGACUCGCGCCGCACAAGCCUAACAUUUCAAA